rnacentral:rRNA from 1 species
UGGGGAAUAUUGGACAAUGGGCGAAAGCCUGAUCCAGCCAUGCCGCGUGUGUGAAGAAGGUCUUCGGAUUGUAAAGCACUUUAAGUUGGGAGGAAGGGCAGUAAGCGAAUACCUUGCUGUUUUGACGUUACCGACAGAAUAAGCACCGGCUAACUCUGUGCCAGCAGCCGCGGUAAUACAGAGGGUGCAAGCGUUAAUCGGAAUUACUGGGCGUAAAGCGCGCGUAGGUGGUUCGUUAAGUUGAAUGUGAAAGCCCCGGGCUCAACCUGGGAACUGCAUCCAAAACUGGCGGGCUAGAGUAGGGCAGAGGGUGGUGGAAUUUCCUGUGUAGCGGUGAAAUGCGUAGAUAUAGGAAGGAACACCAGUGGCGGAGGCGACCACCUGGGCUCAUACUGACACUGAGGUGCGAAAGCGUGGGGAGCAAACAGG